rnacentral:tRNA from 1 species
UCUUUGUAGUACAUCUAAUACACUGGUCUUGUAAACCAGAAAAGGAGGGCAACUAACCUCCCUAAGACU